GGGCCCGUAGCUCAGUUGGUUAGAGCGCGUGCUUGACACGCACGAGGUCACAGAUUCGAGUUCUGUCGGGCCCACCA
rnacentral:tRNA from 1 species